CCUACGGGUGGCUGCAGUGAGGAAUAUUGGUCAAUGGGCGGGAGCCUGAACCAGCCAAGCAGCGUGAGGGAAGAAGGUACAGCGUAUCGUAAACCUCUUUUGUCAGGGAACAAAGGCGGGGACUAGUCCCCGGAUGAGGGUACCUGAAGAAAAAGCAUCGGCUAACUCCGUGCCAGCAGCCGCGGUAAUACGGAGGAUGCGAGCGUUAUCCGGAUUUAUUGGGUUAAAGGGGUGCGCAGGCGGCUUGUUAAGUCCGCGGUAAAAGCCCGGGGCUCAACCCCGGCGAGCCGUUGAUACUGGCGGUCUGGAGUUCGAUAGAGGUACGCGGAAUGCGCGGUGUAGCGGUGAAAUGCUUAGAUAUCGCGCAGAACCCCGAUUGCGAAGGCAGCGUACCGGCUUCACACUGACGCUGAGGCACGAAAGCGUGGGUAUCGAACAGGAUUAGAUACCCGAGUAGUC
rnacentral:rRNA from 1 species